UUUCCGUAGGUGAACCUGCGGAAGGGUCAUUACCGAGUGAGGGUCUCUCAGGCCAGACCUCCCACCCUGUGUUUUUGUGACCUUGUUGCUUUGUGGGGCCCGCCUCGAUGAGAGGCCGCCGGAACCCCACCGCUUUGCGCCCCUGCCCGUCAGUAGCCCCCUUAAUUUUUUAAUAAACCUGUCGGCUGGGUUAAUGGAUAUAAUGAAAAAAAACCUUCAACAACGGAUCUCUUGGUUCUG
rnacentral:misc_RNA from 1 species